GUCUCUCUGCGGUGUUGGUGAUGAAGACGGUCUUGAAAGGCGAUAUCGAACGUUCGGGAUUCUAAUUCUUGGCUGGAUGCCAGGCCCCGGAUGGGGAAGUCAGAAGGCGAAGUCCGGGAUCCCACCUGUUCAGGCAGGUCUUUACCAAACCCUCUCACACGGCAUUCGCGGAGCAUGG
rnacentral:other from 1 species